rnacentral:lncRNA from 1 species
CCUAUAAUUUAGUCACAUGAAACAGUUUAACCUCAGACAAGUCAAACGAGAGCACGAAGAAGCAGCAAAGAGCGAGCCGGGGUCAGCAGGCGAGAGGAACAGUCACCUGGCCCGGACAGGGCCCAGCGACCCAGGCCCUUUAUUCCCGUCCCUCCGGGCCGUGCGCGGCCCCCACCCCGGCCCGGGGCUCCCACGCCGCCCCCCUCGGCCCGCCCCACGCCCGUGCCCAGGACUGGGGGUCACAACAGCGGGCAGACGCCGCGCGCGGGCAAGUUGGAGACUUACCUCCCCCGGAUGCGCUAGACCAUCAAUGGAGCCUUCUUCCGCAGGCCAAGAAAGUAACCCGUGGUGGCCUUUGAAAGUCCCCCCACUGAACUGGAAUGGAGCUGUGGGUGAUUCCUGGGGGCGUGUUGCAAAAUGCAGGAGGCAGAUGUCACGUAUGCAAACACAUGCAAAAGCGAAACAGCCUCCCCCCGCCCCGCAAAAGGAUCAAAACCAGAAACAUUUUUCCUUUGUCUGGACAUGACUAAUUGUAGACAGCAAUUAAGGUGCGCCAUUCAACUCCAGAUUGGAUGAAUUUCCUCUCCACCAGCGUAGAAGUGGGUCUAUUUACCAACACACUCAGAGCUUGGUGUCAGGGAAGCCCUGCUCUGUUGCGCCCUGUGGCAUCCAGCGAAGCCCGCUCUUCUCUGAGUCCCACGGUACCCAGCCCGUGCCCCAGCGUGCGGUCCCAGGGCACGAACAUGCCUUUCGGAUGAGAUGGAAACCCGAAUGUGACUUCGGACCACGUGUGGUGAUCGAGAAGUCUCCUGGGGCUUUGUGAAAGAAUGGAGGGGAGGGGAGGCUGAGUUCCAUUGUCUUGGCCCAAUUCCAAGUUUGAUCAUUAGGCGUCCUCCUCCUUUGUCUGCCAGCCGGCUCCCUGCGACGCGCUGUUCCACACUUCCUGUGAUAAACAGCUGUCCACUGUUAACCGAGCCAGCCCAGGAGCCAGCAAAUUCCACCCUGGGGAAAGCCGAAUUUCAAGAUAAACAUUUCCUCUGCAUCUCUUGGUAAAUUACUUAGGUUUACCCUGAAGGAAAGGUGUAGUUUUCUAGGGAGAAUAAGGCCAUAAUAACGGGGAGUGGAAAACUAUCCACAAGCCCUAUUUUGUCUAAAUGGUGAACAAAGAAGGCUAGCAUGGAUCACAAAGGGGCCCUGGGAAGGAGGAGUCCAAAGAAAAUAUAUUUUAGAUUCUAACAUGUUAUUUGGGAGACUCAGAAUUUAAUCCUAUAACAUUGACGUGGCAGGUCCUAUUUGCUACCAAAAUUCAUAUUUUUUCUACCCAAGUCAUAUACGGAAGAAACAGGCGGGUAACUCCUAACCCAGAAGAAACAGCGACAUUCGCCCUUGUCUCCAGCUUUGGAGAUGGACGUGUCUGGGGCAAUCACUUUAAUGCCUCUCUUCCUUUCAUUUGACACUUUCGAGCAUCUUAAUUUCAAAAUAGCCACAUUCCUGGUCCUCUCAAUCCCAAAUGUCUCCUUCUCACACUCCAACUUCCAGAAUAAAUUUUUCUAUGUUUGUUUUUUCUUUUUUAAAUCUUACAAGGUUUUGUUUUUUGUGUGUGUGUGUGUGUUUUUUUUUUUUUUUUUUUUUUUUUUUUUUUGCUUUUUAGGGCUGCAGGUGCAGAAUAUGGAAGCUCCCAGGCUAGGGGUUGAAUCAGAGCUACGGCUGCCGGCCUACACCACAGCCACAGCAAGGGGGGAUCCGAGCUGUGUCUGUCAACUACACCACAGCUCAUGGCAACGCUGGAUUGCUGACCCACUGAGCAAGCCCAGGGAUCGAACCUGCGUGCUCAUGGAUACCAGUCAGAUUCCUUUCUGCUGUACCACGACCCAAACUCCCUAAAACUGCUCAAAAAAAUAAAGUCUAUUAAUUUUUUAAGAGCAUUUUAAUUCUGUUCUUCUUGUUGCCAAGCGUGGGGACUCACUCAGCAUCUCAAAUAACAGGAGAUUUAUGUGCAGAUGUUCCCACGGAAGCCCAGGCAAAGCUAAACCCAUCGGGGAAAGAAGGGGCUAGAAGCAGGGCCACCGGAAGGUCAGGAUCCCCAGCUCUUUCCACCAUGUGCAUCCCUGGCCCCCUGUUCUCAUCUUUCCCAUCAGGUGACCUCCUCACCCUCUACCCUUCAGCUUCUCUUCACUUCAAAGUGUCUGCUUUCUCGUAAGUUCAGCUCCCUCCUGAUUGCCGCUUUCAUGGGGUCUCUCAUGGCUCCGCUGGUUUUACUGUGGCUUGUGACCUAGCUACAGCUACUUCUGCUGGCUGCCGCGUGACUUUCGUAUUUCCUACUUAACAUUCCUGAGAGGGAGGAAACCCAACUGGCCCAGUUCAUCCUCUAAGACCCAGCCCUGGCCUGGCCCCCAGCCCACUGCAGGGUACAAGGAGUGGAGGGGUGGGGGGACAGGGGAAAGAAGGAGGUCCCACUGUGGAGACCCCAGGAGGCAGAGCAGCUCCCAUUGCAAGGGCCCGAGGGUGGGGGCUUUCCUGAUGGCUCCACACCCAGAGCAUGCUCUCUGAAGGGCUUGUCCCCCAAAAAGGAUGAAAGUAAAAGUGAGUCUUAGCAACCCUGCAGUUCCACACGUAUUGUUGUGGCUGUUGCUUUGGCUGCACCCGCUGUAUGUGGAAGUUCCUGGACCAGGGAUCAAAGCCAAGCCACAGCAACAACCUGAGCCAGAGCAGGGACAAGGCUGAAUUCUUACCCACUGAGCCACAAGGGAACUCCUUUUUUUUUUUUUUUUUUUUUUUUUUUUUAAUGGCCUUAUCGGCAGCAUAUGGAAGUUCCUGGGCAGGGACAGAGUCCAAGCCACAGCUGCAACCUAUUGCACAGCAACCCCAAAUCCUUUAGCUCACUGUGCUGGGCAGGGGAUCCAACCUGCACCUUUGCAGCAACCUGAGCCACUGCAGCCAGAUUUUUAACCCACAGCAUUAAAGCAAGAACUCCCCUAUUUUUUUUUUUUUUGGUCUUUUGUCUUUUUAGGGCCACACCCUUGGCAUAUGAAAUUUCCCAGGCUAGGGGUCUGAUGGGAGCUGUAGCCCCCGGCCUACACUACAGCCACGCAGGAUCCAAGCCACAUCUGUGACCCACACCACAGCUCACAGCAACACUGGAUCCUUAACCCACUGAGCGAGGCCAAGGAUUGAACCUGCAUCCUCAUGGAUGCUAGUUGGAUUCGUUUCUGCUGAGCCACGACAGGAACUCCUCGUUUGGCCUUUCCAAUGGAGAAAACCCCAGAGAAGCAGACGGCAGGUGACAGAAUGCUCAUGUUCUCCCGAAUGACCCCUAGAAUACGUCCUCCCCCAAAGACCCUCCAACCAGGCUCUGGAGGAGCCCCGUUACUUCGAAGUAGCAGCAGAUUCUUCCUUCGUGCAAGGAGAAGAAAGGGGGGGGGGGGACAAAGAUGGAUCUUCUCUUUACACCACAGCACCGUCUGCCCCUCUCUGACCAGUGCUAUGUGAUUGAUGCUUAUCCCAGGGUGAAAGAAAG